rnacentral:rRNA from 1 species
GUGCCUAACACAUGCAAGUCGAGCGAGGAGAGUCCUUCGGAUGAUCCUAGCGGCGGACGGGUGAGUAACACGUGGGCAACCUGCCUCAUAGAGAGGAAUAGCCUUCCGAAAGGGAGAUUAAUACCUCAUAACAUUGCAGUUUCGCAUGGAACAGCAAUUAAAGGAGUAAUCCGCUAUGAGAUGGGCCCGCGGCGCAUUAGCUAGUUGGUGAGGUAACGGCUCACCAAGGCGACGAUGCGUAGCCGACCUGAGAGGGUGAUCGGCCACAUUGGGACUGAGACACGGCCCAGACUCCUACGGGAGGCAGCAGUGGGGAAUAUUGCACAAUGGGGGAAGCCCUGAUGCAAGCAACGCCGCGUGAGUGAUGACGGCCUUCGGGUUGUAAAGCUCUGUCUUCAGGGACGAUAAUGACGGUACCUGAGGAGGAAGCCACGGCUAACUACGUGCCAGCCGCUGC